rnacentral:rRNA from 1 species
AUUGAACGCUAGCGGCAUGCUUAACACAUGCAAGUCGAACGGUAACAGGCCUAGCUUGCUAGGUGCUGACGAGUGGCGGACGGGUGAGUAACGCGUAGGAAUCUACCUUGUAGUGGGGGAUAACUUGGGGAAACCCAAGCUAAUACCGCAUGAGCCCUAAGGGGGAAAGCAGGGGACUGUAAAAGGCCUUGUGCUAUGAGAUGAGCCUGCGUCGGAUUAGCUAGUUGGUGGGGUAAAGGCCUACCAAGGCGACGAUCCGUAGCUGGUCUGAGAGGACGACCAGCCACACUGGGACUGAGACACGGCCCAGACUCCUACGGGAGGCAGCAGUGGGGAAUAUUGGACAAUGGGCGGAAGCCUGAUCCAGCAAUGCCGCGUGUGUGAAGAAGGCCUGCGGGUUAAAGCACUUUCAGUGGGGAGGAAGGCCUCGUAGCUAAUAAAUGCGAGGAUUGACGUUACCUACAGAAGAAGCACCGGCUAACUCUGUGCCAGCCGCCGCCGUAA